AUGGAUUCAUUGUAAAAUCCCUAUCAUGAUAUAAUACAUUUUUAUUACAAUUUUUUUUUUGCCGAUAAAGGGAUCAAUUGAUACAAUUCUUUUG